rnacentral:rRNA from 1 species
AACAAACGCUGGCGGCGUGCCUAAUACAUGCAAGUCGAACGGGGUAGCAAUACCUAGUGGCGCACGGGUGAGUAACGCGUGGAUAAUCUGCCUUAGAGUGGGGGAUAACUAGUCGAAAGAUUAGCUAAUACCGCAUAAGACCACAAGAGCUGCGGCUCAAGGGGUCAAAGGUUUUUCGCUCUAAGAUGAGUCCGCGUAAGAUUAGCUAGUUGGUGAGGUAAUGGCUCACCAAGGCGACGAUCUUUAACUGGUCUGAGAGGAUGAUCAGUCACACUGGAACUGAGACACGGUCCAGACUCCUACGGGAGGCAGCAGUAGGGAAUAUUGCACAAUGGAGGACACUCUGAUGCAGCGACGCCGCGUGAGUGAUGAAGGCCUUCGGGUCGUAAAGCUCUGUCGCAGGGGAAUAACACAAUGAAUGUACCCUGUAAGAAAGGAUCGGCUAACUUCGUG